CGAUGAAGAAAACUUAAUAAAAUAUUUAAAAAGUUUAAAGGAAUGAUUAUAAAACAUAUCAGAAAAAUAAAAAUUUAAAAACGACAAUGAAUAAAACAAAUUUAAGAAACAUUAGUUAAUACGAUUCGAUUAAAUAUGCGUACAAUAAACAAAAUAAAUAUUAUUGACAAUAUUAUUAGCCAAUGCGUUGUUUUGCCAUAUUUAUUAUCGUUCAAAUAAAUAAAUAGUAUUUUUCAGUAAGCAUACCUAUAAUUUUUGUUAUUUUGGCGCAUUUAUUUGUACUGAUAGUGCAACCUAUACGUAUUUUCAACGUGGUAAAUACCUCAAAUAAUAACUGUAUACAAUUGUAUGAUUUUACGAUUGAUCAUAUUAUAUUUACACA